rnacentral:rRNA from 1 species
UACGUAGGGUGCAAGCGUUUAAUCGGAAUUACUGGGCGUAAAGCGUGCGCAGGCGGCUUUGCAAGACAGAUGUGAAAUCCCCGGGCUUAACCUGGGAACUGCAUUUGUGACUGCAUGGCUGGAGUGCGGCAGAGGGGGAUGGAAUUCCGCGUGUAGCAGUGAAAUGCGUAGAUAUGCGGAGGAACACCGAUGGCGAAGGCAAUCCCCUGGACCUGUACUGACGCUCAUGCACGAAAGCGUGGGGAGCAAACAGG